UGCAGAAUCCCGUGAACCAUCGAGUCUUUGAACGCAAGUUGCGCCCGAAGCCGUUUGGCAGAGGGCACGUUUGCCUGGGUGUCACAC
rnacentral:rRNA from 1 species